UACGGGGGGAGCAAGCGUUGUUCGGAUUUACUGGGCGUAACGCGUGCGCAGGCGGUUUUGUAAGUCUGAUGUGAAAGCCCCGGGCUCAACCUGGGAAUUGCAUUCGAGACUGAAUAGCUAGAGUAUGGGAGAGGGAAGUGGAAUUUCAGGUGUAGCGGUGAAAUGCGUAGAUAUCUGAAGGAACAUCAGUGGCGAAAGCGACUUCCUGGACCAAUACUGACGCUCAUGUGCGAAAAGCGUGGGGAGCAAACAGG
rnacentral:rRNA from 1 species